rnacentral:rRNA from 1 species
GCUCAGAACUUACAGGAUUGACGGGGCCCGCACAAGCGGUGGAGCAUGUGGUUUAAUUCGAUGAUACGCGAGGAACCUUACCUGGGCUCAAAUGUAUGUUGACGUAUUCUGAAAGGGAUACUUCUUCGGACAAUAUACAAGGUGCUGCAUGGUUGUCGUCAGCUCGUGCCGUGAGGUGUCGGGUUAAGUCCCAUAACGAGCGCAACCCCUAUCAUUAGUUGCCAUCAGGUCAAGCUGGGGACUCUAAUGAAACUGCCUACGCAAGUAGUGAGGAAGGUGGGGAUGACGUCAAAUCAGCACGGCCCUUACGUCCAGGGCUACACACGUGCUACAAUGGCCGGUACAAAGGGCAGCUACCUGGUGACAGGAUGCUAAUCUCAAAAGCCGGUCUCAGUUCGGAUCGGAGUCUGCAACCCGACUCCAUGAAGCUGGAAUCGCUAGUAAUCGCGCAUCAGCCAUGGCGCGGUGAAUACGUUCCCGGGCCUU